CUACUAUAAAAGACAACGUCCAGUCAUUCCAGAGAUGGACAAAUCUCCCUCCGUAUGGCGUUUCAUCGAACCUCAUCCCCUGGAUUUUUUUUGGAAUAUAUAUGGGUUUCCCAAAAUCAACUCAUCUUUGAGAACAGAGAUUCGACACCCACUAAAACAGUUGGAUUCACUAUACUCUCAGCCAGAGAAUGGGAACAGGCCCAAUCUCUGGUGCCUCAUCACCUCCCAAAAACCAUCGAGACCCUCCCCUAUCAGGUACCGGAAGCAACUAUCAAUUGCUACACAGAUGGCUCUUGGAGAGCAGAUCAGAAACAUGCGGGACUUCGCUGGGUAUUCAUCGAUGGCUCCGGGACGACAAUCAACAAGGGCUCGAGGGGUCGGAUUUAUAAAGGUUUGAAAGCGGGUCUGAGUUUUCCAAUCUAGGGACCCCUUUCGUGUUACGGCAGCGCGUGGAGGAGGAGGGAGGGCUCAACCACUACAUCUGGGGUACUUCGGAGGGGUUCCUUAACCUCGUCCUCGUGUUAAUUCAUAGUCCGGCUUCUGAGUGUGUUGGUGCUGGUCUCGUUCACACGCGGAGAUAAGAUGUGAUGCGACUUGGUUUUGUCUUCUAUGGCCUUUCCAGUGCAUCUCAGUCGAUCUCCCUCCCUUCUGUCCUCUCCUCUUCUUGAACUGGACUGCUGCAGCUUUUGGAUUCUCUCUUUGGUUCUCGGAGGAGGCAAUGGGUGGAGUCGGGGGUCUUCUCCACUGGAAUUCGAGUUUGAUCUUCUAUUCAGUAGCUCCCGUUGGUGGACUAACAAUCCCAACACCAUACCCAACUCGUGUUUGGUCAUGGUGUGUUGGUUCCCAAAUCUUUUAUGCAAGUCUGUGGGCUCUCUGGUAAUAGGUUCAGCGCCUGUCUCGAAUCCAUCUUCUUGCUUGUGCUUUGUUGGCGGUGAUAUAGUAUUGUCAUCUAUUAUUUGUCUCUGUUUGUAUUUUGAUUCUCGGAUUCACACCUCAUCUCCAAGGAAUGGUGCUCUAGUUAAUGGGUUCGAAACUGUCAUUCAAUUUUCUCUGUGGUUAGAGCUUUGGUGAGCAGGAUAGGCCAGUUGAGAAUGGUGGUUCCCCUCAAUGUUUGUGUCCUGUUCCAUUCUCUCGAGUUUCGUCCACCGGCAGAAGAAAGAAGUGGUGGGUGAUCCUUAAUACUAUGAUCAUUAAUAAUGUAUGUCGGCGCCUAAUUUGAGAAAGAAGUGAAGAUAGAGUGGUCGGUUUCACUUCGGUGGAGUCGGAGUCGUUGACCGCAGAUCUACUGUAACGAUGAAGGACCGUCCUCGGUCUUUUGAGCCUAGGUUUUUUUCCUUCCGCUUUAUGUUCCUUAAAUUCUCUAUAUAUAAGUAGUGAUAAGCCUAAUAUAUUAGCGAUGAUUACUGUUUUUCUAUUGGUUAGUCGAAGACUUGUUCUGGUGCCCGUUUUCUCGGGCUGGUCAUUAAUUAAUAUAAAAGUAUUUACUGGUUA